AGUUUGUAAAAUAGAGUGAAUAUUGUAAAUAUAUAUUUAUUUCAAAUAUUCUGCCAUAAAUGCAAUCAUCUUCAGAGAUUGAGAAAGAAGUUGAAAAAGGUGGUAGUGGCGGGCAUAUGUAUUGGAUCCACGCCCCGCAUCCUGGUAACAUAGUAAUUCAUCCAAAAAUGUUGGCCCUUUUAAUUGAAACUGCUUACAAUGCUAUUCAUAUUUAAAAGUGUUUGAAUGAGGACACUUUUUGGACUGGACAUCUUAUCAUAGAGUUCUACCAAUCUCAGAACAAAACUAAACCAUUACUGAACCCAAAAUAAAACUGACCUAAAUCACUUGUAAGGAGGAUCAAGUUUCGUUGUCGUGUCAAGAAGAGCAAUAAAGCAUCUGGCAACGCUCCUCAUUAUUUCUGCAUUGCUAAAUGAUAUGGCUGGCACUUGCAUGGUGUUGCAAGUAUGAAGAGACCCACUGCAUUCACCAACCAUCCCAAGGUUCAAAGACGUGGUUCUGUAAGGUGUUCAAGCCAAAAGCAUGUUGGGCACAGAUGAAGAGUCUGCUGCCAGAACUGACAGGUUUUCCAGCGUCACUCUGAAGAUUAUUGUUCAGCAACUCCUUGCCUGUCCAUGCUCCGUAAUCUAUAUUUUAACUGAAUUCGAAUUCUUCAAAUUCCUUUUACUCCACAUACUCUGCUCACAUACAACAUAUUAAACAUAUUGUCUUUACUUGGGUCCUUGCAAGUGGUGGGUACACAUGCCCUUGCUUUAAUCCAUGUUGUUAGCCUUAACUAUUUUACCUCAGGGUCCUCUGCCCUUGUUUUGUAAUAAAAGGUUCGUAAUGUAAAAUCCCGUUUUAAAUAAUUACUUUAAUUAGAGUUACUCUUUCAUUCUCCAAUUCUUACUGGGUUGUAGCCAGAGAAAAUUCAAAAGUAGGUGACGAGUUUGCCUUGCCCGUGGCAAGAGACAAUACCCCGGAAACAUGGCAUCUCCGACGGUAUUUUUUUUUUCUAGAGCACAUUCUUUCAGUCACUAUCCCAUUUUUCCACCAACACAUUUUUCACAUUCUUCAUUAUGGCUUCCUCUGGGCCCUCAAGAGGAUCUAAUUUGGCGGAGCAUGGGCGGGACAGCACUGCAGCACGGGUUGAUCUGCUUGAUGCAGCCCUCAGUGAGCACCCUACUUCUGUCAACCCACUAGAGAUGUCUGACACUGAUGGACCAAAUGGCUUGACUAUGAAGACUGGGUCAAGCCCGGGAGAAAGCACUAAGGCCCUGCAAGUUGAGAGACCUGAUGUAGGUAGCCAAAAUUGUAGCAAUUCAGCAGUGUUGGUUGUUUUCUCAUGCGCAAGCCCAAGCUGAUUUUCUUAAUGGGAAGUUUGGGAUGGGUGUCAAUCCAGGCAUUCUACCGGUACUGGAUGAACUGCGCUGGACAAUUUUUCCUCUUUUGCUUGGCGGUGGCUUCUCUGCUGCAAUGCCUAGAAAUGAGAAUGCUGCCCAUCUUCCUUGCCAAAUUUGAGAAUGCUGAUCAGUGUUUGACUUAUCAUGGCAUAUCAGUGUUUGACUUAUCAUGGCGGUGUUUGACUUAUAAAGUGCAUACAUGAUCUUCCCAGUGAUAAUGAAGUGAACCCCUCAACCCCAGUUAUGAGGUCGAGAGUAUGUGAACUGAAUGUGGAGGAAUCAGCAGAUGAUUUCUCAAAAUUGAACACAGCAAUUUAGGUUUGGCAAGCAAUAUUACUUGCUCAGAACUCUCAAGGUACUGGAUAAUGAAGAAAGAAGUAAAAUAAAAGGCAACCCAACUGUUUACAGAUCACUGAAGAUAGAAGACGUAAUACUUUCUUCAUCCAAAGUUUUGUCUGACGGUGUUGGCAGUUUGGCAUGAAGCCCAUCUGAUGGCUUAGAGGAUGACGACCCACCUAUGCCAUGCCCCACUUAUCGUCGGUAGAAGUAUGCUGACCGUCCCGAAGUAGUGGUUCUACCAAAGUUUGACCCAAAUGAUAACACUGGUCUCAGAGUUCUUCACUACUUAUGAAAAUUAUUUCUCAAAGAAGUUCUCAGGCACAACGUAUGACCAAACCCAAAAAUUGGCUGAUUUCCUGGCUGGGGAUUUGCUCACAGUUUACCAAGUGCGAGGUGGAAGGAAGCUUAAGUACAGUGAGACGAAGCAACCGCUUUUAGACUUUCACAGGAGUCAAAUAUUUCGUGGUCGGAAGUACUGGAGAAAUGCAUUUGCCUCUGCAUCUCCACACCCGGAAGAGGACUGGUAUAUCUAUUCACCGCGCUCGUUUCAGCUGGCAGAAUUGGGAUACCCAAGUGAUAAAAAGAAAUGUGCCAUCCAGUUGAGACAGCAGUUCAUGGAUUCCUUGCCACCAUCUUUUUCCAGUAAAAUUUUGAAUACAGAACGGGCUCUGAAAGCCACCACGGGAGGCGGAAAGAGGCAUUUAACCUUCUCAGGUAUCUUGCAGAUGGCCAAGGACCUUCAGCUGUAGAAGACUAGUGUCAUGUGGUCUGAUGUGCUUAGUCUCCAUGAUCAAUCAGCGUCAGAAAAUUCCCACGAGACUCAGUCACAGCUUAAGACUAGAGUUUUCAUAGGUCAGCGUCAGGAAAUGUACGUACCAGACUUGACCCAGUGUGAUCUCUGCGGGAGCGCAUGAAGUAGCAAAACAAACUUUAGUGCCUCCUCAUAACUCAUCUCCGAUCUCAGUUGGACUUCCAACAACAAAUUCUAAAAUUAGGUGCAGUUAUUUUAAAAACCCGAAUCAUUCCAGAGAGAACUGCAGGAAGGCAUCAAGAAGGUGUCUCAUCUGUGGACGGGAGCAUCCUAUUGAGCAGUGUUCUAAGUAUGAUCCCAACCACCGUACAAAAGCUAAGAUCCAUGAUCGACCACUUUUGGGAAACAGAACUGGCUCAAAGUAAGCGGACAUAUUUUGUGGCAUACAACACUCUCCGCCUAAUUAAGAUGCUCUUGGUGAUACACGGUUGGCGAGGCCUCCAGCGGUUGACGACUGGCAUUCAGCUGAAACGUCCGUGAUAAACCAAACCCCAAGUAUUGACACCUCAUCAGUUUCUCCUGGGCUGGGUGGUUUCGACUAGCUCGAAGUGAGCCUACCUAGCAGGAGGCUGGGCGCCAGGCUGCGGUACCUCUGGAACAUCAUUGAUUGAUGCAUCAUUUGACUUGAGUAGCUUUCUGUAGGAUCUACCUACCUUGCCGGGAAGAGAGUGAGUUUGGUAGGGCGAGGUAACUCACAAUUAACCUUCAUGGUGACUAUAGAAAAAAAAAUUUUAGCUGUGAUCGACUCGGGAGCAGUGACUUCUCUCAUGUCAGCAAAGUUUGCAAGUGACCUGAAAUUUAACGCCGAGUAAUGACACAAGUGUCUUCCGCUUUAUAGAACGGAAUGAUUUUUUGUGAUUAGGAAAAGUGAAUUGUGCGUUGGAUAUUCAUGAUGUUCCCAUGUGUGACUGUAAAUUCUCUAUUUUUCCUACUUUUCCUAAUAUGAAUGUAACUUUGGA